rnacentral:rRNA from 1 species
AUACGGAGGGGGCAAGCGUUGUUCGGAAUUAUUGGGCGUAAAGGGCACGUAGGCGGUCAAGUAAGUUGGUGGUGAAAGCCCUCGGCUCAACCGGGGAAUUGCCCCCAAAACUGCUUGACUUGAGUCCCGGAGAGGGUGGCGGAAUUCCCAGCGUAGCAGUGAAAUGCGUAGAUAUUGGGAGGAACACCAGUGGCGAAGGCGGUCACCUGGACGGGUACUGACGCUGAGGUGCGAAAGCGUGGGGAGCAAACAGGAUUAGAUACCCCAGUAGUCC